CUCAUUUUCUCGAUUAUGAGUCCAGAAAUUUGUCUGUCUCUGAUUUUGCAGCAGUGCUAUUUAUACUUGGGUUCAGAUUUUGAAGCGAAUUGGCAUCCUUAAUGGAAGUAUUAGUACCUUUUGUGUGUUCUGUAACAAUUGGGUUGAGGAAAAAUGGACCAUGUUCUGUUGCUCUACCCGUUGAGUUGGUGUGUUUGGUCGAAUAUUUUAAUUGGUGGGGAAUCCAAUGGGUCACGCCGGGUCCGGUGAUAGAGUUGUUGCAUUGGUGGGAUGGGGUUUCUUUCAGAAAGAUAGAAAAACAAAUUUGGAAAGUAAUCCCCAUGGCAAUUUUGCUGCUCAAAAAUAAAUAAAUAAAAAUUGCCAACAGGGUGAAGCUUAACCUCAAGGGAGUUUUGUAUUCUGUCAAUGAUUUUCUAUAUAACCUGCAGCAUAUUCGGUCAUGUUAUUAGACUUGUGGUUAGGAUUGUUGUUAGAUAUUGGCUAUGUUGUUUCUUGUUGGUUUUGCUUGGGCCUUCUCUAUUGACAUUUUAAAGGGUUGAUUGUUUAGUUUCUAUUAGGGGUAUUCAAAAUAGCCUGAGAACUGAAGAAUCGAAGAAUCGAAUUAAACCGGUCUCUUUGGGUUAGCUUGAUUUGGUUUUUUUAGUCCAUUGGUUUGGUUCCGGAUCUUCAAUUUGUCAAAUUGAUAGGAUUGAGUUGUUUCUUAAUUUAGACCUGAUUUAAACCUAAUCAACUUGAGAAUCAAACCUAUAUAUGCAUAUAUAUAUAUUUUUUCUUUUUUUAAUAUUGACGUGUCUUUAUAUUACCAUGGUUUUGUAUGUGAUUUCAAAAUCCUCUUUUCAUGAAGCUUGUGCAAUUGAACAAAUUUUGAAUUAUUGGUCCAAGAGUGAUAGAUUCUGCUUCAUGUUAAAUGAUUUAGCCUACUAACAAGGUAAAUGAUUUAGUGUAGAGAAUAAGAGAAAUUAUGAGCCGUAUGUAUGUGAAUUAUGAAAUGUUAGACUCUAUUUCAAGUUAUUCUUUAAAUAGCAUGUGUCAAAGUUCAAAUGAAAUGGAAGUUGAUAAGCUCAUUGAUGGUUGUUGUGGUGAACAUGUGAAGUCUCUUCAAUUUGAAUUUUUGAAGCACUUGGAAGAAGAAGAAAAUGUUGAUGCAAAAUCAGAGACAGACAAAUUUCUGGACUCAUAAUUUUUGCUAUAUUUAUAAGUGGUGAUGAAGUGUAGAGAUCGGUUACAUGAACUUGUAAAGGAAGAGAUAGAGAAUAAGGAUUCGAGUACGGAGGAGUGGAAGAUCGUGAUGGAGAGAAGCUUCAAACGCAUGGACAAUGAGAUACCUAUUAAAGCUCCUGGAAGUGCUCAAGGUGAGCUGGAAAUUACUAAUUUGGAUUAAGAAUUGUGGUGAGUUGAUGUACUGGAAGUGCUAGAUAUUUUCUGCUGCUGCUGCUAUUUUGUUUUUUUUUUUUUGGGGGGGGGGGUGCAAUUGGGAUCUGGAUGUUAUUUAUUUUCAGUUGGACAACGUUUCUUUUCUGUUCCUUUUAACCCACAAUCAAAACAAUGUGUAAUGAGGUUGGCCAGUUCUUUUAUCAAGUAGUGAAAUAUGAAAUUGUUCCCCGUACAAUAGUUUUUUCAAUGCUGAUAAUCUAAGUAUUAAGAUAUAAUUUUUUACAAGCAUGCGCAGUUAACAUAGACUUUGUAAGACCAUAUUUUAAAUUUGCAUACACUUGAUAAACACACACUAAUCAAU